GAUGAACGCUGGCGGCGUGCUUAACACAUGCAAGUCGAACGGAAAGGCCCAAGCUUGCUUGGGUACUCGAGUGGCGAACGGGUGAGUAACACGUGGGUGAUCUGCCCUGCACUUCGGGAUAAGCCUGGGAAACUGGGUCUAAUACCGGAUAGGACCACAUUUUGGAUGGUGUGGUGGAAAGUUUUUCGGUGUGGGAUGAGCUCGCGGCCUAUCAGCUUGUUGGUGGGGUAAUGGCCUACCACGGCGUCGACGGGUAGCCGGCCUGAGAGGGUGUACGGCCACAGUGGGGCUGAGAUACAGCCCAGAGUCCGACGGGAGGGAGAAGGGGGGGAUAUAGCACAAUGGGCGCAAGCGUGAUGCAGCGACGCCGCGUGGGGGAUGACGGCCUUCGGGUUGUAAACUCCUUUCGCUAGGGACGAAGCGCUUUUGUGACGGUACCUGGAGAAGAAGCACCGGCUAACUACGUG
rnacentral:rRNA from 1 species